rnacentral:rRNA from 1 species
UACGAAGGGGGGCUAGCGUUGCUCGGAAUCACUGGGCGUAAAGCGCACGUAGGCGGGUCUUAAGUCAGGGGUGAAAUCCUGGAGCUCAACUCCAGAACUGCCUUUGAUACUGAGGAUCUCGAGUUCGGGAGAGGUGAGUGGAACUGCGAGUGUAGAGGUGAAAUUCGUAGAUAUUCGCAAGAACACCAGUGGCGAAGGCGGCUCACUGGCCCGAUACUGACGCUGAGGUGCGAAAGCGUGGGGAGCAAACAGG